rnacentral:lncRNA from 1 species
UCAAAAUAUAAAAAUAUAUCAAAACUUCAGGCAAAAUUAUCUUGAACAACUAUCCAACUGCACCACUCUGCACAUCAGAAAAAAAACACCACAUACUCACUGCAUUCCUAAAUGUAGAGUAGUAUUAAGGAGUAAGCUUAUCCGGACAGCAAGUAGUUGUGCCCACUGUAUAAGGAUAAUCAUAAUGCACACACCACAACAGGGAUUUUUUUCUUUGACAUCUGCAUACAAAGUUACGGAACAAGCUCUUGAAUGGUUGUGACUAAAUUUCUCAAAAGAUGUCAACAAAAGUAAGAUAAUAUAUAUUACAGUAUAAGGCUAUUAUACAUGCUAACUAUGCACUGUUGUUAAAUAAACGGUAUACUUGUGACUAUUCUAUAUCAUCAACAUGCUUCUACCCGACUCUCCAUUAAUCGCCUAGCUACAUGGAUGCAUUCACAAAGAUAUAAGCCCUCUCCUUAGCUUUUAGCAUACCUCUAUUCACAAAGAUUGUGUGCUAUAUAUAAGUAUUGUGACGCUAAUGGUCGAACAUGCAAAUUAAACUUACACGUGAAAAAUAUGCAACCCACAAUUGCGAUAUCUUAACAUAUCACAUUACAAACAUAUAAACAACGGUCUAAGAAAUACGUGUAACUACACUAACAUUUGGGAUAUUUGAGAUACUUGUCAUGAAUAGUUUCUCCCAUCAACAUAUCAUUGCAACUUAGGGCAAUUCAUUUUCUUUUCUCCGGAAAAAGGUCAAUCUUAUUUCUUCUGGCCUGUCUGCUCUAUGGAUCUUGGUGUUGUAGGCAGAUGGACACAUCUCAGUUCAGAGCAUGUUUGUAAGCAAAAAAUUAUACCUAAUGAUAUAAUUUACAUAAACCUAAUGCCCAGGCAUAUUAUCAAUUGAUGGCGAAUGUGCAUUACAAGUUGAAGUUUCUUGUUCCAACGGAUCCCAGUUAUUGGUUUUUGUCAUCCAACAGUUUAAUGUCAUAUCAACCAAGGUUUGUGCUCUACUUAUGGAGGUAGCCAGUAGAAACUAUUUGUGCAUACAAGUGUUUUCCAAACUAUAACAUUUUAAUUUAUGUUCCAUUUUCAUCCAUCUACACAUUUUAAUUUCCGUGUGCAGAAAGAAAUACCUUGAUCACAAUGCUUGGCGUAGAAAAAGUCAUCAUCAUGUAGGUUGACAUUGACAUACUGUUCAUCCAAAUACUUCAGGCGCUGGACAAGCAUAUUGAACCAAGAUCUUCACUUGAUACCGGAGCAGCAAGCAUAUCUAAGAGAACAACACAGCAUAAUAUAAAUCAUUAAAAUAUGGCCAAAAGGUAACUCAUGUGAGUCUAACCUCUUUAGCUAACAAAAGCUAUUGUUCUACAGGGAAGAAAAUAAGUCUACAUAUAUGCGAGUCUCACCUCUUUACCUAAGAUUUCAUUGUUUUUUAUCAUGUUAUGCCAUAUAUCUUACAACCCCUUUGUUCU